GGGGGACCUUCGGGCCUCUCGCGUCAAGAUAUGCCUAGGUGGGAUUAGCUAGUUGGUGAGGUAAGGGCUCACCAAGGCGACGAUCCCUAGCUGGUCUGAGAGGAUGAUCAGCCACACUGGAACUGAGACACGGUCCAGACUCCUACGGGAGGCAGCAGUGGGGAAUAUUGCACAAUGGGCGCAAGCCUGAUGCAGCCAUGCCGCGUGUGUGAAGAAGGCCUUCGGGUUGUAAAGCACUUUCAGUCGUGAGGAAGGUAGUGUAGUUAAUAGCUGCAUUAUUUGACGUUAGCGACAGAAGAAGCACCGGCUAACUCCGUGCCAGCAGCCGCGGUAAUACGGAGGGUGCGAGCGUUAAUCGGAAUUACUGGGCGUAAAGCGCAUGCAGGUGGUUUGUUAAGUCAGAUGUGAAAGCCCGGGGCUCAACCUCGGAAUUGCAUUUGAAACUGGCAGACUAGAGUACUGUAGAGGGGGGUAGAAUUUCAGGUGUAGCGGUGAAAUGCGUAGAGAUCUGAAGGAAUACCGGUGGCGAAGGCGGCCCCCUGGACAGAUACUGACACUCAGAUGCGAAAGCGUGGGGAGCAAACAGGAUUAGAUACCCUGGUAGUCCACGCCGUAAACGAUGUCUACUUGGAGGUUGUGGCCUUGAGCCGUGGCUUUCGGAGCUAACGCGUUAAGUAGACCGCCUGGGGAGUACGGUCGCAAGAUUAAAACUCAAAUGAAUUGACGGGGGCCCGCACAAGCGGUGGAGCAUGUGGUUUAAUUCGAUGCAACGCGAAGAACCUUACCUACUCUUGACAUCCAGAGAACUUUCCAUAGAUGGAUUGGUGCCUUCGGGAACUCU
rnacentral:rRNA from 1 species